rnacentral:lncRNA from 1 species
CUGCGCUUCUCGGUCUCGACAGCAGCCUCUUCGUUCCUCUGGAGGAAUCGCACCGGAAUCAUCGCUGUAAAACACCAAGACACAUCUUUCCACGCACACCUGUGAGCAGGGUCGCGGCAAGCUGGAGCGUUACCCAGCAGCGCAGGGCCGAGGGGACGCACCUAGGACGGGACGCCAGACCGUCACAAGGCACUCCAAGCAGGGCUUGAACCCCAGACCCGCCGGACAGCAGGCACUGGCCAAACUUGCCACGCCACCGUGUCCCCCGGCACUGCAAACCGGAGCCUAACCCAGCAACACAGGGCGCAAGGCGGGACACCAGUUCAUCACAAGGCACCCCAACCAGGACUCCAACUCUAGACCCGCCAGAGAGCAGGACCUGACCAAACCCGCUGUGCCACCGCACUGCCACGCCCCCUUCUCAUUUAUACAG